rnacentral:rRNA from 1 species
CACGUAGGGUGCGAGCGUUGUCCGGAAUCAUUGGGCGUAAAGCGCGCGUAGGUGGCCUCGUAAGUCCGCUGUGAAAGUCCAAGGCUCAACCUUGGAAAGCCGGUGGAUACUGUGAGGCUAGAGUACGGAAGAGGCGAGUGGAAUUCCUGGUGUAGCGGUGGAAUGCGCAGAUAUCAGGAGGAACACCAAUAGCGAAGGCAGCUCGCUGGGACGUUACUGACACUGAGGCACGAAAGCGUGGGGAGCAAACAGG